GACGAACGCUGGCGGCGUGCUUAACACAUGCAAGUCGAACGGAAAGGCCCUGCUUUUGUGGGGUGCUCGAGUGGCGAACGGGUGAGUAACACGUGAGUAACCUGCCCUUGACUUUGGGAUAACUUCAGGAAACUGGGGCUAAUACCGGAUAGGAGCUCCUGCUGCAUGGUGGGGGUUGGAAAGUUUCGGCGGUUGGGGAUGGACUCGCGGCUUAUCAGCUUGUUGGUGGGGUAGUGGCUUACCAAGGCUUUGACGGGUAGCCGGCCUGAGAGGGUGACCGGCCACAUUGGGCCUGGGAUACGGCCCAGACUCCUCCGGGGGGCAGCAGUGGGGAAUAUUGCACAAUGGGCGGAAGCCUGCUGCAGCAACGCCGCGUGCGGGAUGAGGGCCUUCGGGUUGUAAACCGCUUUCGCCUGUGCCGAAGCGUGAGUGACGGUAAUGGGUAAAGAAGCCCCGGCUAACUACGU
rnacentral:rRNA from 1 species